rnacentral:lncRNA from 1 species
GGUCGCCGGCGGGAGCGGGCGGCGACGGCGGCGCGGGGAUAGGCCGAGGAAGCGCUGAACGGUCGCGGGGGCGCGAGCGGCGGCGGCGGCGCGGCCGGAUGAGGGAGGAGCGAGCGCGGGAGAGAGCAGGAGCGAGCGCGGAAGAGUCGCGCGCGCGGGAGCCGGCGCAGCAAAUAAGGGGCGCGGGAUUGCGUUUCGGCCAGCGCGCUGAAAUGAAAAUGACGCGCUUUUGCGUGCCCGCUGGAGCUGCCCGCCGCGUUGCGCGCGCGCUAAAACUGCCUUUUUUACGGCGCGGCGUUUCUAUAGGGCGCCUGUUGGAGAUGCUUUUAGUCAACAAAUAAGUCAUGCAUAUAAUUCCGAGAAGACCAAGGCGUACAAACGGAUAGAUGGACAGAAGGAUCUAGUGUGACAAUUAGUAAUAGAUAGAGCAUUGAUCGAUGAAUAUAAUAUAAUUAAUUACAGAUAAAAUAAUUGAAUGUAUCGACGAAUGAAUGAAUCAAUAAAGCAACAAUUUAUCUACGAACCUAAUUUGACCCUCCGGAUUAAGACCAGGCAUAUACUUGUCCAUAAGAAAAAGAAUGGAAAGGUCGAAAAGUAACAUGCCGAGCAAGAUGAGCAGAAACAUGAGGAUCGUCCUCGGGGGGUCUUCCUUGACGAAUUUGGGCACCUGACUGGCGAUGUAAAGAAUCGAGACACCGGCGAAACCCAGCAGGCACGUUAUUGCCCAUCUGCUGCACUCGUCGGCCUCCGGCACCACCAGCUCAUGUUCGUCCGCGGCGGCAGCCAUCGCGCUUCGUGGGGAGCGACCUCGACCAAUCUACUGAAAUUUUUUAGGGUGAAAGUCGGGUCUGGUUAAGCAGUAGUACUCCGUAUUUGUUUGUUGGGAUCCAUGCAACCGGCCGGCGGUUUUCAUGCAUGCAGAGCUAGCCCUCUGGGAAUUACACGUAGUACGUACAAACUAAGUGUCCCCUCA